UUGGGUUAAACAGUAGUAUAAAGUUAUAUGAAGACCCCCAGUCGUGGAUGGAAGCACAGAAACAAUGUGUAAAAGAUGGAGGACGCUUAAUUGUUUUAAAUACUGAAAGCAAAGACAAAAUGUUUUUAACGUAUGUUAAAUUAUUAUAUGAUACUUCACAGUGGUGGAUUGGUGCGAGUGACAGAGAAAAGGAAGGAACAUUUCGAUGGGUUACAGGAGACGUUAUAUCGUAUAAUAAUUGGGGAGCGGCCGAGCCAGAUGACAUGACAAAGACAUUAACCAAUGCAGAUUGUGUCAUCUACAUCAUCAAUAGAAAAUAUGGAAAUUGGUAUGAUCGCGUGAGUCUUUUUAAAAUGUCUUUUGUAUGUGAAAAGAACGCAUCAAAGUAACAACUAUAGUCAAAUCAUUGUUAUGAUCAGCUUAAAACAUAAACUAUCUUAUGUCAACAGUUUGUAUAUUAAAAAAAAAUUAACAACUAAUUUGAUAUUAUCGUAGUUCAAAGGACUGUCUUCCUGUUUGCGUACAUUUUGUAAUAAUUCGUUGUAUCAAUAGUUUAUGCGUUGUCAUUUUUUUUUUCGCUCAUGUAAGCAAUCAUUUUGUUUAUUUGUUAAAUACUCAGCAACUUUAUUGUAUUUACACCUUUAAUCGUGGGAUCUAAUGGGAAAUAAAACUGUCUGAACGUU